CCAUCAGAAGGGGAUAACACUUGGAAACAGGUGCUAAUACCGUAUAACACUAUUUCCGCAUGGAAGAAAGUUGAAAGGCGCUUUUGCGUCACUGAUGGAUGGACCCGCGGUGCAUUAGCUAGUUGGUGAGGUAACGGCUCACCAAGGCCACGAUGCAUAGCCGACCUGAGAGGGUGAUCGGCCACACUGGGACUGAGACACGGCCCAGACUCCUACGGGAGGCAGCAGUAGGGAAUCUUCGGCAAUGGACGAAAGUCUGACCGAGCAACGCCGCGUGAGUGAAGAAGGUUUUCGGAUCGUAAAACUCUGUUGUUAGAGAAGAACAAGGAUGAGAGUAGAACGUUCAUCCCUUGACGGUAUCUAACCAGAAAGCCACGGCUAACUACGUGCCAGCAGCCGCGGUAAUACGUAGGUGGCAAGCGUUGUCCGGAUUUAUUGGGCGUAAAGCGAGCGCAGGCGGUUUCUUAAGUCUGAUGUGAAAGCCCCCGGCUCAACCGGGGAGGGUCAUUGGAAACUGGGAGACUUGAGUGCAGAAGAGGAGAGUGGAAUUCCAUGUGUAGCGGUGAAAUGCGUAGAUAUAUGGAGGAACACCAGUGGCGAAGGCGGCUCUCUGGUCUGUAACUGACGCUGAGGCUCGAAAGCGUGGGGAGCGAACAGGAUUAGAUACCCUGGUAGUCCACGCCGUAAACGAUGAGUGCUAAGUGUUGGAGGGUUUCCGCCCUUCAGUGCUGCAGCAAACGCAUUAAGCACUCCGCCUGGGGAGUACGACCGCAAGGUUGAAACUCAAAGGAAUUGACGGGGGCCCGCACAAGCGGUGGAGCAUGUGGUUUAAUUCGAAGCAACGCGAAGAACCUUACCAGGUCUUGACAUCCUUUGACCACUCUAGAGAUAGAGUUUCCCCUUCGGGGGCAAAGUGACAGGUGGUGCAUGGUUGUCGUCAGCUCGUGUCGUGAGAUGUUGGGUUAAGUCCCGCAACGAGCGCAACCCUUAUUGUUAGUUGCCAUCAUUUAGUUGGGCACUCUAGCGAGACUGCCGGUGACAAACCGGAGGAAGGUGGGGAUGACGUCAAAUCAUCAUGCCCCUUAUGACCUGGGCUACACACGUGCUACAAUGGGAAGUACAACGAGUUGCGAAGUCGCGAGGCUAAGCUAAUCUCUUAAAGCUUCUCUCAGUUCGGAUUGUAGGCUGCAACUCGCCUACAUGAAGCCGGAAUCGCUAGUAAUCGCGGAUCAGCACGC
rnacentral:rRNA from 1 species